rnacentral:rRNA from 1 species
GCCAGACUCCUACGGGAGGCAGCAGUGGGGGAUAUUGCACAAUGGGGGAAACCCUGAUGCAGCGACGCCGCGUGAGUGAAGAAGUAUUUCGGUAUGUAAAGCUCUAUCAGCAGGGAAGAAAAAAGACGGUACCUGACUAAGAAGCCCCGGCUAACUACGUGCCAGCAGCCGCGGUAAUACGUAGGGGGCAAGCGUUAUCCGGAUUUACUGGGUGUAAAGGGAGCGUAGACGGCAAUACAAGUCGGAAGUGAAAUACCCGGGCUCAACCUGGGAACUGCUUUGGAAACUGUAUGGCUGGAGUGCUGGAGAGGUAAGCGGAAUUCCUAGUGUAGCGGUGAAAUGCGUAGAUAUUAGGAGGAACACCAGUGGCGAAGGCGGCUUACUGGACAGUAACUGACGUUGAGGCUCGAAAGCGUGGGGAGCAAACAGGAUUAGAUACCCCGGUACC